GCCGCCAUGAACACUACACACACAGCAUACUGAGAGAGCGAGAGAUCUCCAAAGGCACCCGGUGAGCGCGCGGGCAUGCCCGGUGACGUACCGGCUCCGUCCGUGUGGGAAGUGGUGAGCGUGCUGGGCAGAGCGUUGUGCGCAGGCGCGGCUCUCACUGCCGCUCUCUACCUGAUCCGCAGAGUGUGUUUAAUAAUGGCCUGGAAAUCAGGAGGAGCUAGCCAAGCGGAGCUCGUCAACAACCUCCGCAAGAAUGGCAUCAUUAAGUCGGACCGCGUGUAUGAAGUCAUGCUAAGCACAGACCGAGCCCAUUUCUCCAGAUGUAACCCUUACAUGGAUUCUCCACAGUCUAUAGGAUACCAGGCAACCAUCAGUGCACCACAUAUGCAUGCAUAUGCACUGGAGUUGUUACAUGAUCAGCUAUAUGAAGGUGCCAAAGCUCUGGAUGUGGGAUCAGGCAGCGGCAUCCUGUCAGUCUGCUUCUCCAGAAUGGUGGGGUCGAAGGGGAAAGUCAUUGGGAUUGAUCACAUAAAGGAGCUGGUGGACGACUCGAUCAACAACGUUAAGAAAGAUGACCCAACACUGAUCACGUCAGGACGCAUCAAACUUCUCGUUGGAGAUGGCAGGUUGGGCUAUCCGGAGGAGGCUCCCUAUGAUGCGAUACAUGUAGGAGCUGCAGCUCCUUCUGUUCCACAGGCUUUACUGGACCAGCUGAAGCCUGGCGGGCGUCUCAUCCUGCCUGUCGGACCAGCUGGAGGGAACCAGAUGCUGGAGCAGCAUGACAAGCUGGAUGACGGCAGCAUCAAAAUGAAGCCCCUCAUGGGGGUGAUUUACGUGCCUUUAACAGACAAAGACAAGCAGUGGUCCAGGUGGAAGUGACUUCCUGUCCCUCUCUUCCCCUUCCCUCCUUUCCCCAGGGAACAGGUGAAAUGGUGUGGUCUGGAGCAAGACAAAGGCUGCCUUUGCUGGAUGAACUCUAAAACAACAGUCUGGCAAUACAUCAUACAUACACACACACACACACACAGCAUCCAUCUGGACUUAACAACUAACCACGAGAUGGUAAACGGACGAUGAAGAAAAGCCACGCUCUCUGCACUCUCGCUCUCGGGACAGUCUGACCGCUGUGUGGCCAAAGAGCCCUCAGGAUGGAAGAAAAAGAAACAGACUGCUUAGGAAAAAAAAAAAAUACACACAACUAAAUGAGGGGCUUUGUCUUGACAUUUUCAUGCCUGCAGUUUGCUUUGGAUUUGUGAAUUGUUCCGAUUUCUUUUCGUUGAUUUGCAGGUGCACUUUUUUUGUGAGAACUACAGUAUUGUAGCUGAUUUAUUUUAUUUUUUUUUUCUUUUGGCCUUUGUUUACAUGCAUUUCAGGUUGUUUGGAGCUGGUGCUGUUUCUCAUUUGGACUAUAGGAAUGGGAGAGAUAUUAAAGGAUAAGUCCACACUGUUCUCUGCUCAUGUUAAAGUGCACACUGCUCCUGAACCAUGCUGAAUGCAUCCUUAUUAAUAUUAUUAUUUUUAUUUUUUCAAGACAUGUUUAGUUGAGAUUCUGGAAUUUUGGCUGGGAAUUUUUCUAGCCAGAGCUGCGACUGAGAUGAGAUUGAGGACGUGUGUUUGAUCAGGGCUUUUCAGGACCCCAUUUCAAGCUUAAAACUCUUUCCUUUCUGCAAAUUAGCUAUGACAAAGAGAAAAAAAAAGACAAUUAGCAGAAUUUGAAAAAAAAAAAAAACACUAAUAUAAUAAAUGAAAAUCUAAAGAUUGACCAUUCAUAUUAUUAUGCUUCCAUAUGCAUUAUAAAAGCGGUACACUGAAAACUACUCCACUCUCUAUGCGCAAGUUUGAGAUGCAUUUCCUAUGAACAGUUCUGCCUUGUACAGCUCCAUUUAGAUCCCACAGCUGCAGCACAGUUUAGCAUAGAUUUGCUCAGGCUGGUUAUGCCACCAUUUUAACCCUCACCGAUUAACAAGCAGCUCAACGCCACCCCAGAGCGAUUGCUUACAUUUGCGCUGUCCCACAUUCUCGAAAGGUUCACACUGCGUGCAACAAGCACACACGUGUUAAUCUCUAUCUCUCUCUCUGUCUAUUUCUCUUUCUCUCACACUCACAGACGCUCCUACACACAGCUCUGAGCUUGUGUCCCCUUCCACUGUGGACAUGCUGGCUGUCACCAUGCUGAUUGUGACACACGUGGCUUUGUACAAAUAAAAACCCAACGCCGUGCAAACCA